CGUGUAGCUGGCGGCGUGCCUAAUACAUGCAGUCGAGCGAAUCUGAGGGAGCUUGCUCCCAAAGAUUAGCGGCGGACGGGUGAGUAACACGUGGGUAACCUGCCUGUAAGAUUGGGAUAACUCCGGGAAACCGGAGCUAAUACCGGAUAACAUUUUGAACCGCAUGGUUCAAAAUUGAAAGACGGCUUCUGCUGUUACUUACAGAUGGGCCCGCGGCGCAUUAGCUAGUUGGUGAGGUAACCGCUCACCCAGGCCACGAUGCGUAGCCCACCUGAGAGGGUGAUCCGCCCACUGGGCUGAAAAACGCCCCGACUCUACGGGAGGCAGCAGUAGGGAAUCUUCCCAAUGGACGAAGUCUGACGGACCACCGCCCGUGAACCAAUAAGGGCCUUCGGUCGUAAAGUCUGUUGUAGGGAAGAACAGUCCAGAGUACUGCUGGUACCUUGACGGUACCUAACAGAAGGCCACGGCUAACUACUUGCAGCAGCCGGUUAAU
rnacentral:rRNA from 1 species